GUUUUGUCGGAGAAGAUGUGGUUGUUGUGGGUGCUUCUGUGGUUGAUGUGUGUGCAAAUGUGGUUGUUGUGGGUGCAGCUGUGGUUGUUGUGGGAACAGCUGUGGUUGAUGUGGGGGAAGCUGUGGUUGUUGUGUGUGCAUCUGUGGUUGUUGUGAAGAUGGCUGUGGUUGUCGGAGAUGCUGUAGGUGUUGUCGGAGAAGAUGUGGUUGUUGUGGGUGCUUCUGUGGUUGAUGUGUGUGCAGAUGUGGUUGUUGUUGGUGCAGCUGUGGUUGUUGUGGGAACAGCUGUGGUUAAUGUGGGGCUGGUUGUGCUGGAUGUAGAGGAGGCUGUUGUGGAUGUUGUAGUUGUUGUCAGAGAAGAUGUGGUUGUUGUGUGUGCAUCUGUGGUUGUUGUGGGGAUAGCUGUGGUUGUCGGAACACCUGUAGGUGUUGUUGGAGAAGAUGUGGUUGUUGUGUGUGCUUCUGUGGUUGUUGUGGGGAUGGCUGUGGUUGUCGGAACACCUGUAGGUGUUGUUGGAGAAGAUGUGGUUGUUGUGUGUGCUUCUGUGGUUGAUGUGGAUGAAGCUGUAGUUGUCGGAGCUGCUGUAGGUGUUGUCGGAGACGAUGUGGUUGUUGUGGGUGCUUCUGUGGUUGAUGUGUGUGCAAAUGUGGUUGUUGUGGGUGCAGCUGUGGUUGUUGGGGGAUCAGCUGUAGUUGAUGUGGGGCUGGUUGUGGUGGUUGUGGAGGAAGCCGUUGUGGUCAUUGGAGCUGCUGUAGUUGUUGUAGAAGAUGUGCUUGCUGUGUGUGCAUCUGUGGUUGUUGUGGGGAUGGCUAUGGUUGAUGUGGGGAUGGCUGUGGAUGUCAGAGCUGCUGUAGUUGUUGCAGCAGAAGAUGUGGUUGUUGUGGGUGGAGCUGUGGUUGUUGUGGGGGACGCUGUGGUUGUUGUGUGUGCAUCUGUGGUUGUUGUGGGUGAAGCUGUGGUUGAUGUGGGGCUGGCUGUGGUGGUUGAAGAGGAAGCUGUUGUAGAGGUUGUAGGUGCUGUAGUUGUUGUCGGAGAAGAUGUGGUUGUUGUGGGUGCAUCUGUGGUUGUUGUGGGGAUGGCUGUGGUUGUCGGAACUCCUGUUGGUGUUGUUGGAGAAGAUGUGGUUGUUGUGUGUGCUUCUGUGGUUGAUGUGGGUGAAGCUGUAGUUGUCGGAGCUGCUGUAGGUGUUGUCGGAGACGAUGUGGUUGUUGUGGGUGCUUCUGUGGUUGAUGUGUGUGCAAAUGUGGUUGUUGUGGGUGCAGCUGUGGUUGUUGUUGGAACAGCUGUAGUUGAUGUGGGGCUGGUUGUGGUGGUUGUGGAGGAAGCCGUUGUGGUCAUUGGAGCUGCUAUAGUUGUUGUAGAAGAUGUGCUUGCUGUGUGUGCAUCUGAGGUUGUUGUGUGGAUGGCUAUGGUUGAUGUGGGGAUGGCUGUGGAUGUCAGAGCUGCUGUAGUUGUUGCAGCAGAAGAUGUGGUUGUUGUGGGUGCAGCUGUGGUUGUUGUGGGGGAAGCUGUGGUUGUUGUGUGUGCAUCUGUGGUUGUUGUGGGUGAAGCUGUGGUUGAUGUGGGGCUGGCUGUGGUUGUUGUGUGUGCAUCUGUGGUUGUUGUGAAGAUGGCUGUGGUUGUCAGAGCUGCUGUAGGAAUUGUCGGAGAAGAUGUGGUUGUUGUGGGUGCUUCUGUCGUUGAUGUGUGUGGAGAUGUGGUUGUUGUUGGUGCAGUUGUGGUUGUUGUGGGAACAGCUGUGGUUGAUGUGGGGCUGGUUGUGGUGGAUGUAGAGGAGGCUGUUGUGGAUGUUGUAGAUGCUGUAGUUGUUGUCGGAGAAGAUGUGGUUGUUGUGUGUGCAUCUAUGGUUGUUGUGGGGAUGGCUGUGGUUGUCGGAACUCCUGUAGGUGUUGUUGGAGAAGAUGUGGUUGUUGUGUGUGCUUCUGUGGUUGUUGUGGGGAUGGCUGUGGUUGUCGGAACACCUGUAGGUGUUGUUGGAGAAGAUGUGGUUGUUGUGUGUGCUUCUGUGGUUGAUGUGGAUGAAGCUGUAGUUGUCGGAGCUGCUGUAGGUGUUGUCGGAGACGAUAUGGUUGUUGUGGGAGCUUCUGUGGUUGAUGUGUGUGCAAAUGUGGUUGUUGUGGGUGCAGCUGUGGUUGUUGUGGGAACAGCUGUAGUUGAUGUGGGGCUGGUUGUGGUGGUUGUGGAGGAAGCCGUUGUGGUCAUUGGAGCGGCUGUAGUUGUAGAAGAUGUGCUUGCUGUGUGUGCAUCUGUGGAUGUUGUGGGGAUGGCUAUGGUUGAUGUGGGGAUGGCUGUGGAUGUCAGAGCUGCUGUAGUUGUUGCAGCAGAAGAUGUGGUUGUUGUGGGUGCAGCUGUGGUUGUUGUGGGGGAAGCUGUGGUUGUUGCGUGUGCAUCUGUGGUUGUUGUGAAGAUGGCUGUGGUUGUCGGAGCUUCUGUAGGUUUUUUCGCAGAAGAUGUGGUUGUUGUGGGUGUUUCUGUGGUUGAUGUGUGUGCAAAUGUGGUUGUUGUGGGUGCAGCUGUGGUUGUUGUGGGAACAGCUGUGGUUGAUGUGGGGGAAGCUGUGGUUGUUGUAUGUGCAUCUGUGGUUGUUGUGAAGAUGGCUGUGGUUGUCAGAGCUGCUGUAGGUGUUGUCGGAGAAGAUGUGGUUGUUGUGGGUGCUUCUGUGGUUGAUGUGUGUGGAGAUGUGGUUGUUGUUGGUGCAGCUGUGGUUGUUGUGGGAACAGCUGUGGUUGAUGUGGGGCUGGUUGUGGUGGAUGUAGAGGAGGCUGUUGUGGAUGUUGUAGAUGCUGUAGUUGUUGUCGGAGAAGAUGUGGUAGUUGUGUGUGCAUCUGUGGUUGUUGUGGGGAUGGUUGUGGUUGUCGGAGCUGCUGUAGGUGUUGUCGGAGAAGAUGUAGUUGUGGGUGCUUUUGUGGUUGUUGUGGGUGAAGCUGUGGUUGAUGUGGGUGCAGCUCUGGUUGAUGUAGGGCUGGCUGUGGUGGUUGAAGAGGAAGCUGUUGUGGAUGUUGUAGAUGCUGUAGUUGUUGUUGGAGAAGAUGUGGUUGUUGUGGGUGCAUCUGUGGUUGUUGUGGGUGCAUCUGUGGUUGUUGUGUGUCCGUCUGUGGUUGUGGGGAUGGCUGUGGUUGUCGGAGAUGCUGUAGGUGUUGUCGGAGAAGAUGUGGUUGUUGUGGGUGCAGCUGUGGUUGUUGUGGGGGAAGCUGUGGUUGUUGUGUGUGCAGCUGUGGUUGUUGUGGGAACAGCUGUGGUUGAUGUGGGGCUGGCUAUCGUGGUUGUAGAGGAAGCUGUUGUGGUCGUUGGAACUGCUGUAGUUGUUGUCGGAGAAGAUGUGGUUGUUGUGGGUGCAUCUGUGGUUGUUGUGGGUGCAUCUGUGGAUGUUGUGUGUCCGUCUAUGGUUGUGGGGAUGGCUGUGGUUGUCGGAGAUGCUGUAGGUGUUGUUGGAGAAGAUGUGGUUGUUGUGGGUGCAGCUGUGGUUGUUGUGGGGGAAGCUGUGGUUGUUGUGUGUGCAUCUGUGGUUGUUGUGAAGAUGGCUGUGGUUGUCGGAGCUGCUGUAGGUUUUGUCGGAGAAGAUGUGGUUGUUGUGGGUGCUUCUGUGGUUGAUGUGUGUGCAAAUGUGGUUGUUGUGGGUGCAGCUGUGGUUGUUGUGGGUGCAGCUGUGGUUGUUGUGGGAACAGCUGUGGUUGAUGUGGGGGAGGCUGUGGUUGUUGUGUGUGCAUCUGUGGUUGUUGUGAAGAUGGCUGUGGUUGUCAGAGCUGCUGUAGGUGUUGUCGGAGAAGAUGUGGUUGUUGUGGGUGCUUCUGUCGUUGAU
rnacentral:lncRNA from 1 species